UUGGAGGGCAAGUCUGGUGCCUGCAGCCGCGGUAAUUCCAGCUCCAAUAGCGUAUAUUAAAGUUGUUGCAGUUAAAAAGCUCGUAGUUGAAUUUCGGGAUCAAUUUGCUGGUCGUGCCUCUGGUACGUACUGGUAUUAUUGGUUUCUCCCUUCUGACGAACCAUGAUGUCAUUAAUUUGAUGUCGUGGAGAAUCAGGACUGUUACUUUGAAAAAAUUAGAGUGUUUAAAGCAGGCAUUAGCUUGAAUACAUUAGCAUGGAAUAAUGAAAUAGGACGUUCGAUCCUAUUUUGUUGGUUUCUAGGAUUGACGUAAUGAUUAAUAGGGAUAGUUGGGGGCAUUAGUAUUCAAUUGUCAGAGGUGAAAUUCUUGGAUUUAUUGAAGACUAACUACUGCGAAAGCAUUUGCCAAGGAUGUUUUCAUUAAUCAAGAACGAAAGUUAGGGGAUCGAAGGCGAUCAGAUACCGUCGUAGUCUUAACCAUAAACUAUGCCGACUAGGGAUCGGAUGAUGUUAAUUUUUUAAUGACUCAUUCGGCGCCUUACGGGAAACCAAAGUGUUUGGGUUC
rnacentral:rRNA from 1 species